GAUGAACGCUAGCGGCAGGCUUAAUACAUGCAAGUCGUGGGGCAGCAUGAAGUAGCAAUACUUUGAUGGCGACCGGCAAACGGGUGCGGAACACGUACACAACCUUCCUUUUAGUGGGGAAUAGCCCAGAGAAAUUUGGAUUAAUACCCCGUAACAUAGCGAUGUGGCAUCACAUUGCUAUUAUAGCUUCGGCGCUAGAUGAUGGGUGUGCGUAUGAUUAGAGAGUUGGCGAGGUAACGGCUCACCAAGUCUACGAUCAUUAGCUGAUGUGAGAGCAUGAUCAGCCACACGGGCACUGAGACAUGGGCCCGACUCCUACGGGAGGCAGCAGUAAGGAAUAUUGGUCAAUGGACGAAAGUCUGAACCAGCCAUGCCGCGUGGAGGAUUAAGGUCCUCUGGAUUGUAAACUUCUUUUAUAUGGGACGAAAAAAGGUCUUUCUAGAUCACUUGACGGUACCAUAUGAAUAAGUACCGGCUAACUCCGUGCCAGCCGCCGCAGUAACAC
rnacentral:rRNA from 1 species